UUUGUAUUGCAGCCUUUAGCGCCGCCAUGCAAGCUCUCCGUACUCCUGCACCUCUCCCUCCAACCUUUCACUGGUCUUGCAUGCUUCUGGAGCUGGACUUUCUUGCAUUGUUGGUCUCCGUUUACAUCCGCCGCCGUUGAGAGACGGCAUCUCGAACAUGGUCCUGCCAAAUUUCGCCAGGACGUACUACUGUGUUAUUCUCUGAAAUACUCGAACAUCUUCGCUGAUUUGAUGACGCCAAAAUUCUCCUAAACGUUAAGCUCAUGUUUUUUCGCUUUGUCUUUUCAUGUAUGCGUGUGCGUGUUGUUGUGUGUUUUUGGAAGGAUUGUUAUCCAUGUAUUUUACGAAUGCGUGUAAACACAGGAGAUGUUGUUGUUUUUGCUGUUGUUGUUGUCGGAAAUACGUAGCAUAACUCACCUCAAGGAUGUUUUAUGAUUACCAUGUUCGCACUGUUCCAUUCUUGGAAUGUGGACAUCGUGCUAUAUUUGAAUUUCUGGUUAUACGUAAUUCCGUCUUUUCCUGUUCUGAAGAGUGUAAAGCCUAUUAUUUAUUGGAUUGAUGGCAUUGAAUUAUUUAUUUCACAAAAAAAGAAGAAAAAGAAGAGAGCAGAAAAUUCGAAUGUCAAGCCUAUAAAAUAGUUGACUUGAUAAGUUCCGGAACGAAUGCUGCUCGCUGCGUUCUGUCCUCAUAAUGUUGUUCUUGAACUGCACCUGGGAAAGGAUGGUCUGUGGCUGCAAGAAGAAAAUUAAUCACAAAUUCUGUCACCCUAUCUUGAAAGAAGAUGUCAUGCACAAUGGAACUCUAGUCUUUCACCAGUUCACCAAAUGAGAGAAUAUGGCAACUAUUCUGUUAUUCCUUCCUUUUAUUACAAAAUGCUGUUGAUCAUUUGGUAAUUUUCAGACGAGUAAAAUCUUUAAAUUGCACAUUCAUUCUUGAUUAACUUCAGACAUGACAGAUUGGAUUGAAGAAAAAUUUGCAAUGACAUGACAUACUUGCUAAACAGAAGCUCUGCCACCGGAGAAAACAACAAAAAAGUUACAAUAUUAUCAAAUCAACUGGCAUGCAGACAUAGGAAAAGUAAUGAAGCAGCUUCUAUCGAGUGUGAUCGUCCGCAUAGACAUUAAUUUGUCAAGCAUCAUGCACUGUUCUGCAUUUCCAGUUCACUGACUCUAUCCAAUUUACAUGCUCUGGCAACUUUCUUCUAAACUCACUGCAGUGGAUUGCCACUAAAAUGCCUUCUAUAUUCCAAACACCCCGGAUAUAGAUUGCCAUUUUCACUUUGAUUUUCUUUUUCUUUUUUGGGUUUGAGUGGAAGGAUUGGAGAGCAGGGGUGAGCGUGAUAAACUGCACAAAGAGAUAGGCUAUCAUAUGAGUGGAAGUUAGUCAAGAAACUUGGGCAUCAUCAACAAUGAAUCCACUUCAAUCUAAAGAGAAUCUUACGACAUUUAUUGUUGGUGUUAAACCAUCUGCUCCACCUUAUUCCCUCUAUUUAGGCAAAGAACAAAAAGAAUUAUAAGAAAAGGAUAGCUUAUAUAGACAGACAAACCAAUAAUACGCCAUCUGAUAUUGUGAUUAAAUAUAAGUCCAAGGUGUGAAUUAUGUAACCAUUCUCUUUACAAGUUUUAACCAAUGCCCACUGCUAAGAGCAACCUGAUAUCCAAGUCCAUAAAGCAAUCAUCCUCCCUGAGUUUAUCUGUCACAAUAUAUUGAGAGCAGACAAGCCCAGAACACUUUUUGGCAUAAUCUUGUUCUUGAAAGUGUUGUAAAAUAUAUAGUAUUUCAAAAAUAUUCUUUGUCCCACAUCGGAAAAAUGAGAAGUAUUAUUUCUCUGUCCCACAUUGUCAAGUGAGAAGGGUUGCAGUCUUUGUCCCACAUCGGAAGUGAGAAGGGUUGCACCUCACUCUGAAGUCUAUAAAUAGGAUCCACUUCUCCCUCAGAAAAUCACCCCAGCAGCUUCAGUUAAUAUCUUUUGAUAGCUGCUCUAUCUCUCUCUCUCUCUCUCUUUUAUUUUUUGUUAGUUGAUAUCUUCCUGAUAAUUCUGUUCUCAUCUUCCUUUUUAUAUAUAUAUAUCUGCUGGUUUUAAUUUGCUAGUUCUGGUCCUUCUAGUUUGCAACAAGAAGAAAGGUUGUCUUUCUUGUUCGCAAUAAAUAGAAGAAGGCUUGUUUAAUCCUGGGGAAAUAUUUCAAUACUCUGAAAUAGUUUCUUAGGACAGUGCUACGCACGACUCAAGCAGAUAGUGUUAACAUUGUUGUAGCCAUUUAUCCAACAAUCUAAGAAACUAUGGCAUCUGACAAUGUUAGCACCCCGCAGCCUUCAUCAGCAACUAUUGCAGUGGCACUACCAUUCGCCAAGCCCUUUCCAGAUGUAUCCAAAAUUGAAAUUUUCGCCAAUGAAAAUUUUAAAAGAUGGCAAGAACGUGUGCACUCUCUACUUGACAUUCAUGGAGUAGCUUAUGCGCUCACUGAAUCUCAACCUUCCGCAACUGCGGAUGCCAAGACUCAAGAAGCAUGGCAAUAUGCCAAUAAGGUAUGUCGACACACUAUCCUUCAAACACUCUCUAAUGAAUUAUUUGAUGUCUACUGUAGCAGCAAAGAAGCCAAGGCAAUUUGGGAAGCCUUGGUAACAAAGUUUACUGCCGAAGAUGCAACCAAGCAAAAAUUCGUCGUAGGAAAAUACAACCAAUGGCAAAUGAUUGAUGACAAGGAGAUGAAAAUCCAAAUCACCGAAUAUCAAAUGCUGCUAGAGGACUUGAAAAAUGAAGACAUCAAUCUUCCUGAAAAAUUUGCUGCAGGCAUGCUGAUUGAAAAGCUACCUGAGUCAUGGGCCGACUAUAAAAAUAACUUGAAACACAAGGAGAAAAAUUAUACCAUGGAUGAGCUCGUGAAGCACAUCCUCAUUGAGGAUUCAAACAAAAGGGAGUUGAGAGCUACCAAGGCAAAGGAGAUGGCUUACAAAGCCAAUCUGGUACAAAGCAAUAAUAAAAGGUACGCCAAUAAAUCCCAGAAUUACAAGCCCAAAAAUUUUAAUGUCAAGCCUAACAAUCCCAACUUUAAGAAGAAGAAAGGCAAUUGUUUUUAUUGUGGAAAACCAGGACAUUAUGCAGUCCAAUGCAGACAUAAUAAAGGUGACAGAGCAAAUGGUAACCCUCCUAAGGUGCACUUAACCGAAGGAGAUGAUAUAAUUGCUGCUGUCAUCUCCCAAGUGAACAUUGCAGCCAAUGUCAAAGAGUGGGUGGUAGACUCUGGGGCUACUCGGCACAUAUGUGCGAAUCGAGAAGCAUUUUCCUCCUAUACUCCUAUAGGGGAUGAUGAAGAAGUGGUCUACCUUGGUGACUCACGAACGGCUAAUGUUCUGGGUAAGGGCAAAGUAUUCUUGAAACUCACUUCAGGAAAAACUUUGGCUCUCAAUGAUGUGCUGCAUGUGCCCAACAUUCGGGCAAAUCUGGUUUCCGUAGCAUUGCUAGGAAAAGUUGGAGUGAAAGUGUCAUUUGAAUCUGGAAAGAUCAUAAUGACCAAAAAUAAUAUAUUUGUGGGCAAGGGUUAUUGUAAUCAGGGACUUUUUGUACUUAAUAUUUCCAAUGUGAUCAAUGAAAAUGCAUCUUCUUCUGCUUAUAUUGUUGAUUCCAUUUCUUUAUGGCAUGCUAGAUUAGGACAUGUUAAUAUUGGUUAUAUAAAGAAAAUGCAAUCAUGUGGCCUAAUUUCUGGUAUUAAUGAUAAUAUGGACAAAUAUGAAAUAUGUGCAGAAGCUAAAAUAACAAAGAAAAGUUGUAUAACUGUCCAUAGAGAAACUGAAUUAUUAAAUUUAAUUCAUACUGAUUUAGGUGAUUUAAAACAAACAAUGACUAGAGGUGGGAAAAGGUAUUAUGUCACAUUUAUAGAUGACUAUUCUAGAUAUACCAAAGUUUAUUUACUUAGAAAUAAAGAUGAUACUUAUAAUGCCUUUUUAUCCUAUAAGUCUGAAGUAGAAAAUCAACUUAAUAAAAGGAUAAAAAGAAUUAGAUCAGAUAGGGGUGGAGAAUAUUUAACUUUAGAUAACCUUUGUGAACAGGAAGGCAUAAUACAUGAAAUAACUCCACCUUAUUCACCAGAAUCUAAUGGAGUAGCUGAAAGGAAAAAUAGAACGUUAAAAGAAAUGAUGAACUCUAUGUUAAUUAGUUCUCAUGCUUCAGAUAAUUUAUGGGGAGAAGCUAUAUUAUCUGCAUGUCACUUACAAAAUAGAAUCCCACAUAAAAAGACUGGCAAAACACCUUAUGAGUUAUGGAAAAAUUAUAAACCAAAUUUGAAAUAUUUAAAAGUUUGGGGGUGUCUUGCUAAAGUCUUGUUGCCUGAACCUAAGAAAAGGAAAAUAGGUUCUAAAACUUCUGAUUGUAUGUUUAUUGGAUAUGCUGAACAUAGUGCUGCAUAUAGAUUUCUUGUGUUAAGAAGUGAUAUACUUGAUUGUAAUACAAUUAUUGAGACAAAGAAUGCAGAAUUUUUUGAACAUAUUUUUCCACUGUCUAGUAAAAUUUCUCAUGCACCUGUUGAAAUAAAUAAGGAAAUUAUUCCAAUUGAGGAAUUAAGAAGGAGCAAAAGGCCAAGAAAAGAAUUUUCAUUUGGAAAAGAUUUCCAAACCUUUCUUGUUGAUAAUGAUCCUUUAACAUACUCCGAUGCUAUUUCUUCUCCUGAGUGUAAAUUUUGGAAAGAAGCAAUUAAAUCUGAAAUUGAUUCUAUCUUGUCAAAUAAAACUUGGAUUUUGGUAGACUUACCUCCUGGUGCAAAACCUAUUGGUUGCAAAUGAUUUUUAAAAGAAAAUAUAACUCUGAUGGCUCUAUAGAAAAGUACAAAGCUCGUUUAGUAGCAAAAGGAUUUUCUCAAAAACAAAAUAUUGACUAUUUUGAUACAUUUGCACCAGUAACUAGAAUUGCGUCUAUUCGAGUUUUAUUUGCUUUAGCUUCUAUCCAUAAACUUGUUAUUCAUCAAAUGGAUGUCAAAACAGCCUUUUUAAAUGGUGACUUAGAAGAAGAAAUUUAUAUGUUUCAACCUGAGGGAUGUAUUGUAUCUGGACAAGAAAAUAAGGUUUGUAAACUAAUUAAAUCUCUUUAUGGUCUAAAACAAGCUCCUAAACAGUGGCAUGAGAAAUUUGAUCAAGUAUUGAUGAAAGAUGGAUUUUCGUCUGUAGAAGUGGAUAAAUGUGUAUAUGUCAAAAAUAUAAAUGAUCAAUAUGUGAUAAUCAGUUUAUAUGUGGAUGACAUGCUUAUAUUUGGUACUAGUCUAGAUAUUGUAAAUAGUACUAAAUAUUUUUUGUCUUCUAAUUUUGAUAUGAAAGAUUUGGGUGAAGCCAAAAUAAUAUUGGGUGUUAAAAUCAUAAGGAAAGGUGAUGGUAUAAUGUUGUCACAAGAACAUUAUACAGAAAGACUUCUUAGGAAGUUUGAAAAUUAUGAUGUGACACCUGUGAGUACUCCUUAUGAUGCUAACACUCAAUUAAAGAAAAAUAAUGGUGGCCCAAUUGCUCAGUCUAAAUAUGCUCAGAUUAUUGGGAGUCUGAUGCAUCUGAUGAAUUUUACUAGACCUGAUAUAGCUUAUGCUGUAUGUCGACUGAGUAGAUAUACUCAUAAUCCCAACCGUGAGCAUUGGUUUGCAUUAGUCAGACUAAUGAAAUAUUUGAGAGGUACCAUGAAUUUUGGUAUCCUGUAUAGUGGAUUUCCCACUGUAUUAGAAGGUUACAGUGAUGCUAAUUGGAUCUCUGAUUCAAAUGAUACGAAAUCCACUAGUGGUUAUGUGUACACCCUUGGUGGUGGUGCAAUAGCAUGGAAAUCUGCUAGACAGACAAUCAUUGCUAGAUCAACAAUGGAGUCAGAGUUUGUAGCUCUGGAACUGACAGGGACUGAGGCCGAGUGGUUGAGAAAUUUCUUAGCUAAUAUUCCUUCAACUAAGGAUUUGUUGCCUCCUGUGUCCAUACAUUGUGACUGUCAAGCAGCGAUUGCCAUAGCUAAAAAUAAAUCGUAUAAUUGUAAAAGUCGACACAUGAGAUUGAGACAUGAUGUCGUAAAGCAGCUGCUUAGAGAUGGAAUUAUUUCCAUUGAUUAUGUAAAGUCAGAGUUGAAUUUGGCCGAUCCUUUGACUAAACCCGUAGGAAGAAAAUUGAUUCUUCAAACUACAAAAGAAAUGGGACUUCGACCAACAAGUUGUCAAUAGAGACGGUAACCCAACCUAUGUGAUUGGUGAUCCCAUGAAGUAGGUUCAUAUGGGUAAUAACAAGUCAAUAUUGAUGGUAAAGCACUUCAAUUUAAGUCCCUCCAGAGAUAAGUGCUUUGAGUAAUUGUGAGGAUGAGUUAAAACUCUUAAUGAAUUCAUAUCCUAUUAGGGAGGUGUAGUUAAAGCAAUACACACUUGAUGAAUUCACCUAUAUGAGAGUGUAGUGGGGUCGCUCCUAUAAGAUUCAUUGGUCAAAUCUUUAGAGCUCUCAUGAAUAACCAGGCAGGCGCACGGCCAAAAAAAGCGCAAAAUCGCGUUAACAGCAAAUUAUGGGUUGUAAUGUGAUUGAUAAAAUCUCUGUCAUACAUCAAGAGUUAUUGGUUCAUAGAAAUUUAUAUUUCACCAAUAAUUCUGUAGAUCAUGUUUUAUCAAUCUAUGUUUGGUUUAUAGUCCAAAAGACACCAAUCUAAUUACAUUUCAACCAAAUCCAGCAGAGUACUUUUAAAAUUCUUCCUUUAUCCAAAGAAUUUUUUUUGAAAUAGGUGGGAGAUUGUUGUAAAAUAUAUAGUAUUUCAAAAAUAUUCUUUGUCCCACAUCGGAAAAAUGAGAAGUAUUAUUUCUCUGUCCCACAUUGUCAAGUGAGAAGGGUUGCAGUCUUUGUCCCACAUCGGAAGUGAGAAGGGUUGCACCUCACUCUGAAGUCUAUAAAUAGGAUCCACUUCUCCCUCAGAAAAUCACCCCAGCAGCUUCAGUUAAUAUCUUUUGAUAGCUGCUCUAUCUCUCUCUCUCUCUCUCUUUUAUUUUUUGUUAGUUGAUAUCUUCCUGAUAAUUCUGUUCUCAUCUUCCUUUUUAUAUAUAUAUAUCUGCUGGUUUUAAUUUGCUAGUUCUGGUCCUUCUAGUUUGCAACAAGAAGAAAGGUUGUCUUUCUUGUUCGCAAUAAAUAGAAGAAGGCUUGUUUAAUCCUAGGGAAAUAUUUCAAUACUCUGAAAUAGUUUCUUAGGACAGUGCUACGCACGACUCAAGCAGAUAGUGUUAACAUUGUUGUAGCCAUUUAUCCAACAGAAAGUUCAAUGGUAAACUUUGUCAUCCUAUCUGGAACAUGAAGGUCAUAAAGCAUGCAACUCUCCUUUCUCUUUGGGUUGUGGUGGAGGUAUUCUGUAGUAUCCACUGGAUGUCAGACAAGAAACUCGAGCAUUUUUUUUUUUUUUGACUUCUCCAAGCAGAAAAUUUAAAUAGAAGCUAGCAGAACUAGAGAGCAUCUAAAGUUCUUCACUCCUUUGAGAUUAAAGAUCCUCAUAGCCAUGCUUGAAAACUAUGAAUGGAAGGGCUCAAGUUACUCAUCAAUCAGAAGACUAUACAGCUCCCUUUCAUCGAAGGGAGAACAAAAUAAUAUGCAUAAAUUGCCAACAACAAAAAUAGAGAAGAUUUGCAGCUUGUAGAAAUGGAUUCUGAGCAGAAUACUGACCUACAUGUGUGAAGAGAUUGUGUUCCCGUAACUGGAAGUAUGUAAUUCCUUUGACGACUAGUGCUAUAAUUCAUCUAACAUUGAUGUUUUAUGAUUACUGAAUUUAUCCCUUUCCUUUAAUUGUAGAGAUAACAUGAUUUGACAUCUCCAAUUGAGAUUGUCGUUCACGACCAGGAGCCAAAACCAAAGUUCUGGUUUACUUGUUUGAUCAUCCAUCAGCUAAGAAUUAAGGGAAUUUUGCAGGCAUGCAUAGUAGUGAUAAUAUUGGGGAAAAAAAAUGCCCGUGGAGCAAGGACAGAGGGAGUUAUGUUGCAUUAGAGAGAGUUAUCUCCUGCUUCAAACCUACCCGCUAUCAUCCUUAUUCAAAGAAGAAAGAAAUAGAAAGAACAAUUAGGGAAAAAAAAAAAGCUUAUCCCUAAAUAGUAGUAUUCAGAAUAAAUGUAUUACAAGUUUUAUGAAAUGCUCCAAGGUGGGGGAUGAUCAUCAAAGGGGUUUCAAAAACGAAAAUUAGUUUGCAGGGAUAAGGGGUUUAACAAUGUUUAAUUCGUGUACGGUAGUAGAAAGAUGGUCAUCAUCAUCACAUUGAAAUGUAUUACUACAAGUUUCGACUCAAAAUGAAAACUGGAAAUUUAGGGGAAUUGUAUGUACAAAAAAUCAAGAUUAGCUCACUUGAGUGAAAGUUUCUAAAAUUUCAAAAGAAAAAAAAAUUGAGGGGAAUUCAAAUCUAUUGAGACCGAGAUUUUGGGCCAGCCCCAUUUCAUUUUCCUGAGCAUCCUACAGAACUACUAAACACUCCAUGGCACAAGAUCUUUCUUGCGAAAGAGAAUUUGAAAUUAAAGCCCAUGCUGUCUGAACUGGAUCAAAAUUUCAGCAGCCUGAAGGCAAUUAGAGAUGGCCCAUUUAGUCUGCUCGAAAAAUUUUUUCAUUUUCUCCUCGUCACUAUUGUUUUCUUUUUGAUUCAUUCUUUGCAGUCAACGGUUCAGCAAAAAAUCAACGUGACGCGAGAGAUGUUUCAAUGAUUUUACUACUACUAUAUUUUAAGUUUCUUAAUUUCUCGGAAUGUGGAAAUGAUGCUUUGAUUGGAUUUCUUCUAUGUGGAUCACGUUGGCUCGAUUCCAAUGACUUGACCUAUGGCACGAAGUGUUUAUUAUAUAUACUAUAAAAGAAACGGUAAAAAAAAAAGACAGAGACAUGGAGAAAGAGACGGAAAAGUAAGGCACGAGAAAAAGGAAGGACAUUUUUUUCCCCCGUUUUCUUUUUGUCAAAACCGGGCAUUUGUCUUGAUAUAUGACACGAACAAAAUAUCUUCACACUUACCGACCAACCACACGGCCAAGAUUAUGCAUUACUAGAUUUUACUUAUUUGUUUUUGUUCUAAAAUGGUUUUUUUUUUUUAGUAUAAGCAGGAGGACUCGAACCCGAUACCUCCUACUUACACUCCCUUCCCAUACCACCCAACCCAACCCUCCCCCUCUAAAAUGGUUAAAUACAAAGUUACCAAAGUAAGAGUCCAAACUACUUGUACCCAAGAAAUCUGCCCAAUUGUUUUUUUGUAUUGAGAAAAAAAAUGGCUUCCAUAGUGCAAUAGAAAUACAUACAUAUAUAAAGACUGCGAUCUCUCAUAAUGAGCUGGGACUGGGAAUAAAGAACGUACAAGCUAUUCAAUAUUGGAACUACGUUUACACGCUGGUUCAAAUUUGAUUUGCUAAUUUAGCAAACUAAACAUAAACCUUAUUUUGUAUUAAGCAUAGGACGGCAUGGAUAUAGCUUAAUUAUUAUUAUUUUUUUUUUAAGUAAAGAGGACUAAUUAGAUAUUUGGUUGUACAACUAGCUUUGAUGGGGGAAUUUUGGAAUACAGUAAAUUGUAAACUUAAAAACACCAAAAGCUGUUUGAACAUGUUGAUAUUCCUAAAUGCCAUUUUUCCACAUAAUUUAUACUUGCUAUGUUGAGUCUCCAUUUCAUAGAGGUAAUGCGUACUUCUCUAAUUAGCUCAAUUCACGGUAGUUUAAAUCUAAGCAUUAGAUUGGAGAGUAGAGCUUCGAACAAAAGUGAUUAAGCAUAGGAUGGCAUGGAUAUAGCUUAAUUUUUCCUUUCUAAGGAUUCAAGAAUUAUACUAUUAAAAAAAAAAAAAAAAGAGGGCACAGAAAGAUGUGUUUGUACCCGGGCUUGAUUGAAACAAAGUGCCCACAUACGUGGAAAAUUGUUUGUCCAAAAUAGAGUUUUCUCAUUUUAAGGCUUGUACUUAACUACAUUUGAUUUGGUUGCAAAAUAAGGAAUUUCGUGAUAAUUAUCAGUUGGAACCAUGGCAAUCAAUCAUCAACUACAGAUUGCAGUUUUGGUGGUCAAGUGUUUUUGGAUUUUCUUAGUACAAACAAUUUUUUAAUUACUUUUUUUUUCUACCUCGCGUAUAUUACGCCUCAAUAAUUAAGUGUUAUAGGUUUUUUUUUUUUUUUUUUUUUUACAAAAGCUACAAAAAAAAAAUCCCCAAAAACGCAAUGCAGAUAGUCUCUUAAUGUGCUCAAAUUAGAUUUGACAUCUACUAAUAAACGCUUCCAUGCUUAAAAGGCCACUUGAAUCGGUUUUGUGAUUCCACUUGUCUAUUCUUUGUUUCUGUUUGGGGUGACUAAGCUUUACCUAGAGGAUUAUUAGUAUGAAACACUUCCAAAAUGGAUUGAGAUUCCAAUAUUAACUGAAUAUAUUCUACGUACCAUGCCAUGCUGGAGAUGAAUUGUUCUCAAUUAACUUUUGCUGACUUUUUAGUGUGUAACUCGUAAGUCCUAACCCUAAUGUUGGAGAUGUCAUGUCACAAGUGGGAAAAACAGUUGGGGUUGGUUGACUUUCUUAAUUGUCCCAUCGGUCGCCUAACAUUAUGUAACUCGUUAACAAGUCGAUUAAUUCUGUGGGUCGUUAAGUUAAAAGCUAUUUGAGGUUAAAAAAAAAUUAAAAUUUAGAAAACCGUGGAACGAAGUGAACGGUUCAAUUGGCUGCUAGCUCAUGACAUCAUUCCGCUGCUAGCCGACAUGGCGACAUCCCCCCGGUCACAAAAUUUUGGAGCGAAGUUUUCUCUGGGGCCCAAAAAUAUUUGCGCUGACAAGAGAAUUUUAGCACGGGAAAAGUCGUCGGCCGAACCUCGAAUUUCUCUUGACAAAACGUCGCUAAAUCGAUGCUUGAAAGCCGUUUAACACGAAGUGGUUAGUCUAGUCAUUCAUUGAAAUCGAUGCAGACAAUGAAUGACCACUUAUUAACAAACCAAACAACGCGGGGCAUUGGAUCGGGAGUUUUCCUUAUCUUUGGUAGGGAUGGGCCAAAAAUCCGCCGAUCCGAAAAAUAGGAUAUUCGAUUCGAUUUUUUUUAGCGGGGUAGAUGAGGGUCGGGCACCCGUAAAAAUCGGAUACGAAUACGAAUCAGAAAAAUAAAAACUCGCGAGUAUCCGACCCGCAGGGUAUAUUAUAUAAAUAUUAAAAAAUUAGGGAUCAUAUUAGAACUUAAUAAUUUUUAAUUCUAAGUGCAAGUGAAGUGACUCACAGUCUCAUAUUCUAAUCUCAUAUGAUCCACUUCUUCUCAUCUUAUUUGAAGAAAGUGAAUAUUUUUGGUGAAACAUGAACCAAAUGAAAAAAUAUUUGUGAAGCUCUGUUACAAAAUUGUUCAUUUCUUUCAUCCUUUUUAUUUUUAUUCUACCUCCAUCAAUUUUUCCUACAAAUUUUGCAUCAAUUCAAUCGAAAAUUUGUGUUUGGAGUUUCAAUUUUCUGUUAGCUAGAUAAUUAAAACAUUUGUGUCUUUCAUUUAUUUAUUUAUUUUAUUGCAAUUACGUCUCCUAAAUUUGUCUCUUUUAUUUAGUGUAAGAAAUUUAUUUUUCUUUUUCAUCACCUUUAAUACCGUAAGGUCUAUUCCAAAGAUGUAAAGAAGUUGGGGAAGAUUUUUCAAGGUUAUUUUGGUUAUAAUUUUUCCAAAAAUAAUUAGUUCGAUUCAAUUCUUUUCCAAACUUGAUUUCACAAUCGACUUAUUUGGGAUGCAGUCUUGUACCAUAACAACCUUAAGGAAGUUGAGGAAGUUGCCAAAUACUUAUUAUCCUUGUGUUUGUUGUAUUGUAGAAGGAUGAAAUGUGUGAGAAUGGUGAUGUACUCAAAAUUAUUAUGAAAUUUCAUUUUAUCUAUUAGAUAUUAUAAUUCUAAUAUGUACUUAAUUUAUGAGAUCGAUUUGAUUGUUGGAUGAAAUGUGUGAGAAUGGUGAUAUAUGGACUUUAAUUACUAUAUCUCUACUAAUAUUAAUUGGAAAGCAUGUUUUUUUUUAUUGAAAAACAUGUUGACAUUAAGUGGAAAGCAAUUUUUUUUUAUUGAAAAAUAGUUUUUUUUUAGGGGCGGGUACCCUAUGACCCGCCCUUUUUUUUCGAAUACCCGAAGACAUUUGAAGCGAGUUAGGGUCGCAAAAUGGCCGAUCCGAUAUAUUAGAGUCAGAUCAGCCAAAUCAUGUUAGGGACGAAUACCCGAUCCGUGCCCACCCCUAAUCUUUGGCAAAGCUGAUACUUAAAGUCUAAAACUAGGGCACCAGUUGUGUGGGUGAAAAUGUGCCACGAAUUUGGAUUAAAAUAGGAAGUAAUUAAGAAUUCCUAAGCUGACUUGCACUUUUUAAUUAUACUAAUUGGCAUAGUUAAUCUUUAAAGAGCUAUUAGAUUUAAUGACGCGUAAACAAAGUCUACAUUAAUUACGAUAAGAUUUUGCCGAAGGAUUUAUAUCUAACUUACCAUGCACACACUUAUAUUUAAUACGCACUACUAUUUAGACAUUUUUCAAAUUAGUUUUACAAUUGUCGAAAAAAAAUUUAAUAAUUGAGGCCCUUUUUAAUGAAUGUCUCUUGGGUACCUAUUAGCCAAAUUCUCAUAAUAAUAUCCAAUAGUGAUAUCAAAUUUUAGCACUACUAGCUUGCUCAUAUUUGAAAAUCCUGAAAUAGUAUCCUAUGUUACGUCCGAUUACCAAUUGCAACUUUUGUAAGUAAUUAUUAAGUUCUAAGGGCAACAUCCAGUUCAAGGACUAGCAUCAUUAACAACAUUAUUUUAAAUGAGGAAGUCUAGAGGUGGUCUUCAAAAUUGAGAUCAAUUAGCAAUUGCAAAUUUUGUUGGUAAUUAUAAAGUUCUAUGGUGGCAUCCAAUUAUAUGACUAAUUAAUAUUGAUAAUAUUAGUUAAUAAUCGUUAAAAGGUCCUAACUGGCACCCAAUUUCAUAUCAAUUGCAACUUUUAUUAGUAAUUAUAAAGUCCUAAAGUGACAACCAAUUCAAAGACUAAUUAGUAAGUUGUUGAGUUAGAUAGUUCUGUGUAAUGCCAACUUUAUAUUUCCAGUUGUCGUCACCCAGGCGUAAUUAGUGUUUGCAUACUUUUGUUUUAUUUAUUCUUUUUUUAUAUAAUAAUCAAAUCCAUUUCUCUUUACUUACUUUUUUUAAAAAUAAUUUUAAUGAAUUUUUUAUUUUCCUACCCUUUUUAUACAUUAUAAUUAAAUAUUACUAUUUUAAAAAAAAAUUUUAUCAAUCAACCCAUAAUAUUCCUACCUCAUGGUUUCCCUAAUAACAUGUUCUCACCUAAUUUCUUUUCAUGCCAAUGAUAAAGAAUAUUACAUAUACUCACGUCAUUGUGUCUGUGUAUUCCUAGCUUAAUUAUAUUUAUGAUUUUUAAAAAUCUUGACAACUUCAUAAUUCAAUAAUUCAUUUUCUUACUUUUAGCAUAUUGCUGGUACUAAUCCAUUUAGUAAGUAAUUAAUUAUAAAUGUGUAAGGUGACAAUUAUAUAUAGCAUUAAUUAGUCUUAACAAGUUUAGUAAUUGAUAUAAAGGCAAAAGGUGGCAAUUAUUUUUAGGCCAAAAUAGUGUUGACAAGUUUAAUAAGUGCUUAUAAAGUCCCAAGUUGAUAAUCAAUUUUAAGAAUGACUACUAUUGGCGACAUUAGCGAAACAAUUCCAGAAGUCUAAAGUGACAAAACAUGUUAAGGGUACUUAAUUUGUAUUAACGUAUUAGUCAAACUAUUAGAAAGGCCUGGGUUAAAAUCAAAUUUAAGCAUAAUUUGUAUAGGCAAUAUUAGUCAAACUAUUAGAAUUGUCUAAUGUGGCAAUCAAUUUUAUGCUAAUUAGUGUUAUCAAUAUUAGUCAAAUAAUUAAUAAAAGGAUAAGGUGACAAUCAAUUUUAAGCAUAACAAGGGUUGAUAAUUCAAUCAAAUAAACAAAAACGCAUGAGGUGACAAUCAAUUUUACAACUAAUUAGCAUUUACAAUUUUAAUAAAAAAAUUAAAAGGUCUAUGCUGCCAAUUAAUUAUAAAACAUGUUUAUUAAGUACUUACAAAGGCCUAACAUGCAAUCAAGUUUAAGGUUAAGUAAAUAUCGAAAUAUUAGUAAGUAAUUGCAAAAAACUAAUGUGGUAACCAAUUAUAAGGUUAAUUAGAAUGGACAAUUUUUAGUUAAAAAAAAAUUUGAGUAUUAGGUUUCACCUUUUUUAGUCCCUUACUUUUACAAUGGUGUUCUUUUGGCCAUUCACAUAUCCAAAAUGCACCAUUUUCAUCCCAAUUCUCAUUUUUAGCUAUAUUUUCACUUUUAAUUCUAAUUGUGAACUAAUUUGGACCAAAGCUCAAAAAAGGAAAAGAAAAGAAAAAAAGCCAUUCUUUAGGUUCCUAAGUUCAUUCUUUGAAAGUUUUCAAACUCAUAUUAUUCUUUUUAAGAUAUUCAAACUAAGUAAAGGUUGAAUGCUAGAUUUAGUAUUUAAACUUUAUUUGUGGUAUUUUUAGGGUCCAAACGAUAUAUUUUCUUAGUAAUAAUGUAUUCUGAGUGAAUUUCUAGAGUUUUGUAAAUUAUUUUUUUUGGUCUAAAUCAUGUAGCACUUAAAAUAAGGUAGUUUACUACAGCAAUUUAGUUUCAAAUAAUAUUUUUAUAAUUUCUUUUCAUGAUUCUACUCAUAUGAUCAAAUAAAGUGCUACAUGAUUUUGACAACAUUAAAAGAUAGAAUAUAAUUUAUGAAGAUCUAAAAAUUCAUUCAUAAAAUGAUAUUAUGAACAAAACAAAUCUUGGUUGGACCAUGAAAACACCUCAAAUAAAAUUUUAAACAUUGAAUCUUACAUUCAUCUUAUAAAGAAAAAAACAACUGAUCUUGGAAAUUUCCAAUUUUACAAUAAUACUCUAAAAUUUGGAGAAUGAAUUUAGAAGCUUAAGAAUGAUUUUUUUUUUGUUUUUUUAGCUUUGGUUCAAUUUAGUUCAAAACUAGAAUUAAACGUGAUAAUGUGGCCAGAAAUGAGAAUAGAGAUGAAAAAUGAUGCAUCCUAGAUAUGUGAAGGGCCAAAAAUCACCACCCUUAAUAAACCGGUUUUGACUUCCUUUCUUUCACGAACAUAUUUUGUACUACUUCCUCCGUCCCACUUUAAUAGUCCUGUUUCUUUUUUCAUACAAUUUAAGAAAAAGUAAUUAAAUUUGUUGAAAAAGUAAAUUUAGAUUACUAUUUUCCUAAAAUACCCUCACAUUAAAUAUGGUACAACUUUAUGAGAACUUGAAUUGAUGGUAAAAAAAAAUCGACUCUCAUUAAAUAAAGUAGGUUUAUAGUAAUAACUACUUAUAUUGAAUAAAAGUAUUUUAGAAAAAUUAAAAUACAACUACAUUUUUCAAUUAAAAAGUGGAUUACAAUUUGAAACAAAUAAAAAAGGAAUACAGAAUCAUCAACAUGGGAUGGAGGGAGUAUUAAAUAAAUGAGACGUCAUGACGUAGAACGUGGCAGUAACCUUGUAAGCGUAAAUGUCUUCACCCACGUGGAAAAUGUGUUAUGCAUACAAAAUGGGGCUAUGACUUAUGAGACACACGCACACAGAGCAUGUCCUUAGAAAACACAACACAUUGAAAUCUGUGCAAGUCCUUUCUUUAUGGAAAGAGCUCUCAAGUACGGUACCGUACAUUAGUCCUAAGAAUUGAUUCAAACAUUCACUUCGUCAACCCAAAAAAAAGUACCGUACCGUACAUCACGCGUCAUGUGAUCAAGAUUUCCCAAUCCACUACUGUGUGGGUUAGCCAUUUUUUUAUCUUCUCGGGAAGCGACAAUACCCUAAAAUUUGAUCCCUAAGCGAAGUCUCUUUUUCAAUCUUGUUGACUUCUUUCAUUUUGUUUGCUCUUAAACUUGUGAAAGAUUAGUCCCUCUUAAUUGUAGUGCAGUGCUUCCUAAAUAUAUUAAUAUUAUCUCAAUAAGACCAUGUAAUGACUAUACAUUUCAUUUGUGGAACUUGCAACCUGGCAAGGACGUGAAUGCAAUAGAAAAUAAUGGUAAACAACGGGUAAUUUCAUACAAAAACUAGACUACGGUAAUGGAGGUAAUUACAACGAAUAAAUGUUACCUCCAUUAAAGGGAGAAUCAACGUAGGAAAGUAUGUUUCAUGUUACAAAGUAAAAAGUGGUCAUACACUUGCAUUCAGGGAUGGGCCGGAUGCCAACAUGAUUUUCUGUUUAAGUCUGUUUAUCACUGUAAACUAUUAUCCAUCAAAACUUACUCUACAAUAAAAGAUGUAAUUGUUCGUUGUCCUUUGCUUUCCUUUCUUUGCCAAAUUUUUUUUUUCAAUCCAAUCUCUGUUAAGUGUCUCUAUCAGAAUUGGAAUUGCAAUUACGUCCAAUCAGAAUAUAGAACAGGACACAAUUGUAUCAAUUUGGUAGCUGGCAUAGGAUGGAGGAAGAUCGUUUUAUGAGUCUUACGGCUAAGGCACACAGAAAUGCUCCUAAACAUGUAAAAAUUAGUCUCUUUUAUGUAUGUAUGUAAACACGUCUAAUCUUUUUUAAUUCAAAAGUAUAUGAUGUUAGUAUGUCGCUCAUCCUCUAAUAUCUCUAUUUAAGUAAGAUAAGGACACAUUUGUUGAUAUUAAAACAGAAGUGACACAAAGUAGGAUAUAAUUUAUUUUCUAUUUCUCCUUUUUUCAUCUCUGUAUUUUAUUUUAUUUUUUAAAUUUAGUUUUGAUCUAUUGAAUAAAAACUUCUAGAAAAAAAAAACCAAAUUAUCAACCACGGGCACCCGCGGGGGAAGUGCAGCGGGGCAAGGGGAAUUUUUUGGCAACAGGAUGGAGGACAGGAGAGGGAUCUCCCGCCCAAAACUCGCCCCGUUGCCAUCCCUACACGUCAGAGUUUUCAACAUGUUUUACUAUUGUGUGAAACAUCUUUAGGGAGAGGUAUUAGCAUUUGGCUUGGCUUUUUAACAAGCCAAUUGCAAUUAAGAAUAAUUUCACAUAUUUCUCCUAAAGUUUUUAAGAAUUACAAAAAGUUCCCCUUACAUUCUAAAAAUUACACCUACCUCUCGUAUUUUCAUUGUUUAAGUAACUUUUUAGGCCCGAAAUGCUCGACCUUUUUUUUUCAAAAAUCUUGUAAUGCCCUUGAGUUAUAAUUUUCAACAAAAAAAAAAGGAAAAAAAAAUGGUUUACAGUCUCUAUUCAUUCAUCCUUACUUGUUAUCACUGUUAACUACUCAUCAACGUCUAAAUCACCAUUAAAUAAACACUUAUCUUUGUUCUAAUGUUUCUCUUUUACCUAAAAAUUUUCGAUGCAAACUAUUGUAUCACCUAUAAAUGCCGCAUUAAAUAUCCAAAACCUUACCUACAAUCUCAUAUCAAUAUCAAAUUUUGCUUAAUACAUAACAAUAUUCAUCAAUGUCCAUAAAUUUCAAUUCCAUGGUUUCCACCUUUUUAAUACAAAAUAAUUUAAGCCAUCACUACUAAUAUCAAUAUCCAAUAUACUCCAUUGAAAUAGAGUUCAAAAUCGACCAAAGUCCCUCUAUAGGAAUAAUAUCAAUAAUUGUAAAUCAAAAAUAGAAACACAAUCAACUAUAAAUAUACCAGGAAUAUUUUUUUUCAUAACAACCAUAACAAUAUAACCUAUAUUUAACCCUAUUCCACUUCCUAUCCUUAAUUUUUUUUUAUUUUUUUACCACCGCCACUAUCCUCAUCUCCAUCUAAUUUGAUAAUGAAAUUAUCACUCAAUUUGUCAUUUGACAAUUUCAAUUUGCUAAUGCCUAUCAAAAAUUGGAAAAAAAAAUGAGCACAAAGAAACUAUUUAAUAAUAAUUAAAAAGAAAGAAUUGAGAAAGACACCAAGAUAGGUAAGUAUUGGUGGUUUGGUGUGUAUAGUGGUUUUAUUAGUGGCGACUAUACACAUUUGAUUAAUAAGAAUAAAUAAAAGAGUUUCAAAGAAAAACAGUUAUAGAAGAAAGAAAAUAGAGAGUUAAAUGGAAAAUAGUGUACUUUUAGUUAUUAGUUGACAAUAGAUGAGAGAGAUUUAAUAUUUCAUAAAGUUUUUCAAUGAGUUGACAAUUAAUAAAGGCAUUGUUGUCUUCUUAACACAUUAAAGGAGGUCUCUGUAAUUAUGUAAACCUCAAAGGCGCCGAAUGAAAUUGUCAGAAACCUCAAAGGAGAUUUUUGAAAUUAUCCCUUUAUAAAAGACUGAUCUGUCCAUUGUUAGCAAUCUCAUUCAUGAAGACAACAGCAUGCGUGGUGAAGAUUGAUCAGGUAUAUCAGGAGUGCACAUCAAGAGUAGUGGGAAUGCACCUGCAUAUGUAAUGGCCAAAACGACAUUAUAUGUAAAUUCUUGUGGGAUGAUUUUCUUCCAAAUGUUUUCUUGCUCCUGCACAAGGCAUAUCUUAAUAAAUAGUUGCUGAUUCAACAAAAAAAAAGACUUUACUCUAAAAUAUGAUUGCAUCUAAUCUAGAAAUCAUGAUCGAUGACUUUAUGCUAAACUUUGAUCAUGGAUGGAGCAAUUCUUUCAACACAAAUUUUUAUUAAACACAUCCAUCAUCAUGAUCAGUGACAAUACCCUAAAAUUUGAUCCCCCGUAAAGUCUCUUUUUCAAUUUUGUUGGCUCCUAAACUUGUAAAGAUUAGUCUCUUUUAAUUGUAGUGUAGUGCUUCCUAAAUAUGUUACCUCAAUAUGAGUAUGCAAUGACGUCACAUUCUUGUCCAAUGACUAUAGAUUUCAUUUGUGGAACUUGCAACCUGGCAAGGACAUGAAUGCAAUAGAAAAUAAUUAUUGUUCCCAUCCCCGUUUUUAACUUUUUUUUUUAUCUUUUAUUUGAUGUAAUUAAGAGGGUACAAGUACAAAAAAGAAAAGACAAAAAAAAAAAAUGCGUGGUGUAUUCGUUGGAGUGAAAUUUUAAUCUUUUGCUAUCUUUUCAGUUUUGAUGACUUUUCAUUUUUUCUGGUAAACUUGUAAAAAUAUCUUUUCCCUGUUCAUUAGUGUGGUCUUAAACAUAUUUAUAGGCGUCAUUUGGGACCAUUUCAUGUCUAAAGAAUCUAUCUCUCUCUCUGAAGAAACAUUUGGGAUCAUUUUGAUUCUUCAGACAUGUUUCUCGAGAGAGAGAGAGAGAGAAGAAAUUCAACAUUCUUCUUCGAGUGUGAAAAUGUAAACUUCGUUGCACAUUACCACUAAAAUAUUACUAUCAAUGAUUGCAUGAAAAGCCCAAAACAUAUUUAUAGGAUGAUAUUAAUGUGGUGCAAAUAAUGGUCCUGCUACAGCCUACAAGUGAUUGAUCAAUUAAUGGCCAGAAGUCUAAGAAGUGGAAUAAUGUUUCAUAUGAUAUCUUUACUUCAUACAGUAGGAAUUUGCGGGGAUGAGCUCAAUGUUAUAGAAAAGUAUACAUACACCGACUGAGCAAGCCAUACUAUAGAAAAGCUGGUAAAGUCAAUAAAUUAGACUUCACAUGAUUAAUUUAAUAUGCCAUGAACAAAAACUUUAUAUGGAACGACUAGUAAGCUAGCUUAAGCUCAAGAUUGAAUGGGUUGUUUCUGCCUCUAUUUUUCUUUUUUUUUUUCCUUUACCAGUUUAUGAGCUCGCUCAUAUAUUUUGUGGUAUAGUUAAGUGCCAUGCGGUCAAUUAGUCAGAGUAUGUACGCGUAGAAUAUUUGUGUAUGAUUUUGUCUAACAGGUGCCUAUUGAAUACCCAUUAAUAUAUAUAUUUUAGAUAUCAUAUUUUUAAAAAUAUAAAAUUAAUUAUGAAAAAUAAAUAACUACAAGGGAGGAUAAAUAAGAUAAGUAAAGAAAAGAAAGAAAGGAACAACAAAUGAAGCUGUUGGGGAAAAACAGAAUAAAAGAUUUGGAGAGAAACAGAAAGGACUAGGAAUGAAAGUUCCCUUCAGUUCUGAAGCUGUUGUGGAGGGACUUGAAAAGGGAAAAAAACCAAAAAAAGAAAAAACAAGGAUGGAGAAAAAUAGUUUCCGCUUUAUUUUUCCCGUCCCCGUUUUCACAAAGUCGAAACGUCCUUUCUUACCCUUUCUUUUUCUUUUCUUUUCUUUCUUUCUUUUUUUUUUUUCUCAAAACCUCCUAUAUAAAGCAGCUUCAACCUCCCUCCCUUUCAACCCCUCCCUCCUUCAACAUUAGCACUAAAAUAUUACUACGAUGACGAAUUUCUUGAUCUUUGUCAUCAAUCUUGUCAAGCGCAUCCAUCUCUUUGAAGCCUCCCCGUCCUCACCUCAGUUGCCAACUAUCCAAGGAACCCAGUCUAAUGCAACACAUCCCACUGACCAGCAGCCACCCCCAAGCAAUACCGAUGCUUACAUGAGGAUGCAAUUGGCAUUAUCAGUCAUAGGAGUUUGUUUUACGGCUGCUGGUACUACUCUGCUAGCUCUCCGGACUCCUAGACCACUUCCAACUAUUUUUCACUGGCUUUGCAUGGCUCUCAUGCUGUCUUUUCUCUGUGUGAUUGUGUCUAUGUAUAUCCGAAGAUGCAUUCAGGUAGCAUCUCUUGUGAUGGACCAUGUUGCCCUAUUCUUAGCCUUCACGGCGUUCAUGCUGGCCGUCUCGAUGAACUUUCCGACCCCAUUUCUGGGCAUCACCGUGGCUCUCUAUUUCAGUGCUAUCCUUCUCAUCAUCUUUGCCAAUCUUUUGAUGCCUCGAGACACAUCAAAUCCAUAAUCGUACAGAGUUACUUGUUACGUCUCUCUCUCUCUUUUUAAUAUUAAUAAGUCUUUAGUAUUAAUAAGUCGAUGUUGUAUAUCAUCUGGGUUGCUUGUUAUGAUGUGUUUACAACAUCUAGGUUGCUUGUUAUGAUAUGUUUUAUGUAUUUUCUGUUAUUGUAAAUCGUAUUAGACUCUAAUAUAUAUAUAUAUAUAUAUAUAUAUAUAUAUAUAUAUAUAUAAGAAGUUGUUAGUAAAAAAAAAGAAUAAAUUUUAUAUACAUUGACGGUGUAUACACUAUCACGGUUGGAUAUACGAUGCAUAUGCAAAAUUUGAAUUUUAAAUUUAAAUUCAAAUUAUAUGUCAUGUAUCUAAUGGUAAAAAUGUAUAUACUGUCAGUGUAUAGAAAAUUAAUCCAAAAAAAAUAUGUUUGUAGAAUGGUCUUAAAAGAAGAAAGAGAGAUCAAUGUUUUAUAUAUGGAAAUAGCUAGUCCAUGUGACUAUUUCUUUCAAUAACUAAGAUAUAAUUCAGCAGGUGAUAAAGAUUAUAAAUGAUGUUCUAAUAUUUUAGUCUUUUCUUUGUCGGAAUAUGGUUAUCAUGCUAUGAUCGAUCUUGUAUAUUAGUUACAUGUUAGAUUCUUAAUCCAACGUUAGAUUUAUAUGUGAAUAAUUAUGUAUUAUAAAUUAUCAAAUAAGGUUUAGUCUAAUCAAAGUGAUCAAUUAUAGUUUAGAUUUUAAUGUGUCUAAUAACAUGUGAGCCUUUAAUAUAUAGAAACUUAAAGAUUAUUCAUAUUUCUACGAUGGAUUGAAUAGGAAUCCAAAAAUAACAAAAAAGUUAUCUAUAAAUGAAAUUAUGUAUAAUUGUAUGUUUCGACUUUCGUGUUUUCGUGUUUCAUGUUUCGGCUUUCGGGUUUUGUUUGGAAGUCUCGGUUGCUGAUGGCAUGAAUUGUUGUUCAAAUAUAAUCUUUAUGCCUUCGGUCAAGUCGCGCCAUUGAUUCACUGUUUUGGUUACAUUGAAUCCAGUGGGUCGCAUGAUAACCAAACUUUAGUUGGAUGAUCCACUGUUUUACUAUGCUAUUUUAGUUGGCCCAUUGUUCACUUUCACAUCUCAAGCAUUCUGCUUUGAUUGAACUGUGACUAGUUCACUUUUACGUCUUAGUUGAUUGAAACUAAGAAUCAAGUUUCCUUGUCAUAGUUAACUGUUUAAUUUGUUUAUAUCACUUGAAUCCAGCUAUGGGUAUGCCUUCGGUUAUAAAAUUAGAACUACUAACUUGAAUUCUUUGACUUGUUUUCUUGUUUAAGAGCCAAUAUUUGUGUUAAGAAAAUUAGGAUUUUUCUGAUUUGAGUGAACCCUAAUAAAGUUAAACAAGAUAUUUAAGGUUUACAAAGUCUAUAAGAUUGGCCCACUAAAUACAUAGUAUUUUAAGAUAUUUUGGGUUUGAAUGAUACAUUUGAAUCAAAUUAUGGAUAUGGACUUUUAGUCCAAUAAGUUUUGAUCCAUUUGACUAAUUUGACCAUAUUUGAUUAGUUUAAUCACGCGUAACCAGAAUUGACUAGUUUAACUCGAAUUGACUGGUUUGACCACAUUUUGAUCAGAGUUGACCCAAGUUGACUUUGGUCAUGUAUAAUUUGUGUAAUUCUAAAUUUGAAUAUUGAUAUAAUUAUAUAUGUUUUGGAAUAAAUUAAUUGAAACAAUAUACCAUCAAAGUGACCUCUAUUGUGAAAAUUAAUUUAUUUUAGAAUAUAACUAGUUGGGUACUUGUAAUUUUGUGAAUAUUGAUCACCUCAAAGGAAAGUCAAUAUUUAACAAAAUUGCAUAUACGUUUGUGAUAAUAAACACGUGAUGAUUAUUCAGAUUUUUACAUGUGAAUUAUAACUGGUCCAAAGGAAAAUUUAUUUUUUGACAUGUUAUUAUUGUUAGUAUUUAUUACUGCACCAAGAUAUCACUUAGAAGUUAAUAUUUUCGUCCAAAGAUAAAAUAUUAAUGGAAUAUCGAUAUCUUGAAAUGAGAAUACCAUUAUUUGAAUUUAUUAUUAUUUUGGUCUAUAUAAGUUUGUUUUAAUUAUUUCAUGUUUUCUGUUCAAUUGUGAAUGAUCUUACAAAUAUUACUACCAACAUCAAUAAUAUUCGUAUGCUGAAUAGCACAAACUUCAAGUCAAAGAAAAUCUCUUGAUAAUUCUUGGAAUAAUGGAUCUCGACUUUACUUUAAGAGUUGAUUUUCCUCCACCUCUUACAGAUCAGAGUACUUCUGAUGAAAAGAAGGAUAAAAAAAGGUGAGAGAGAUCAAAUCGUUUGUGUUUGAUGAUCAUUAAAGAGGCCAUUUCCAAAGCAUUCAUAAGAACAAUGUCAGAAACGACAACUACCAACCACUAAGGAAUUCCUUCAUUACGGUGUCUAUCAUUUAAUUUAUUAUCACUGGCAUUAAAAAAAAAAAAAGUCAGAGAUAGAGAAAGUAUAGGGACUAUGAAUAAAUAAAUAGAUCUUUUCAGUUUUUGGUUCUAAAGCUGAUAUGGAUUUAGUAAAUUCCAAAAAAAAAAAAAAAAAGAGGAGUAGGAGGAGGAGGAGGAGGAGAGCUCAAGGGGUUGUUUUCCAUAUAUUUCGUCCAUCUAAUUUAUUCUUUUGACAACUGUGAAACGACCCAGCAGCUAAUCAGAGGUUUCAUGAUUUAUAAUUUGUUAGCCCUUUCUUUACCUAUGAUUAAAUAUGUGAUUAUAGAUAGUUAAAUCUUUUCUGUUCUGAAGCAGGGGAAUUUAUAGAAUAACAGAACUGACAAUCAGAUGGUACAUGCUGGACUAGCAAAAUGGAGAUUUUUUUUUUUUUUUGCUUCGUCCUACCCAUGCAUCCUUUGUUUAUUACAAAUAAAUUGUUCUGUGCAAUUGGGUUGAACAUAUUUAUUUUGUUUUUUUUUAAUGAAUGAGCAAUAUUGCAUGUUUAAAUAGCAAUAUUCGAGAAUGCUGCCCCUUUCAUGGUGCACCAAUCCAGUAAAUUAAUCAGCUAGUUAUCAUUAAUUGAGAGAAGUUAAAAUUCGUUCGAAUGACCAUGUUAGGAGGGAUGGUCCUGGGGGAGCGAGACCAGAGCGGGUUGCGAAGAAAUUGGGUAGGGACAAACUGAAUGAAGCAACCCAAGACAGGACGGAAGUGUAGGGUCUAGGAUGUGACUCUAGAGAUUAUUUUAUAGUACUUUUGGAUAGAGUAAAAAACCUUGGUUUAUUUUUUGUUCACUUUUAUUAUUGUUCACUUUUAAUUCUUGAUCUAUUUUUUUGUCUUGGACUGAUCUCUAACGAAUUAAAUGUGCAUAGUUUAAGAACUUUUAGUUAUUUUAAACAUAAAUUCAAUCAGAAUCCAAGGGCAUUCUUGUCCAAUCAUAAUCAAAAGUAUUGAGAACUUAAUAAAACGCAUCGAGAGUAGGAGUAGAAAUGCUGAAAAGAGAAAAUCCUUCAUUUUCCUUGAAUUUUUCAUCAGAUUUCUCUACAAAAUUUCUAAAUUCAUUGAUUUCACUCCUGAGUGGCCAAAGUUUCAUCAAAUUUUUUGUGUCUAUCUCAACUAUGAAAUCAAUGAAUUUGGAAAUUUUAUGGAGAAAUUUGAUGAAGAGAUUAAGGAAAAUGAAGGGUUUUCUUUUCUCAGAACUUCGAUUCCUAUCUUCGAUACUUUUGACUAAGUUUUUGAUGCUUUUGAUUAAUAAUUGACAAAAAUGUCCUUCGAUUCCAUCUGGAUUUGAAAGUACUCUCUCUCAAUAUUCUUUCCUCUGAAUAUAGGAUUUCCAUUCCUUCGAAUAAUCAUGGACCUAAUCACUGUUACCAAUGAUGCGUCUAAUCACUCUAAUGAUGUGCUUAAUCUAGUCCCAACCGCACACUAUAACCAUGUUACGGCAAUAGGACAAACUAAAGGAAGCAAGAAUUUAUUGAUCUUGUUGCCAAAUUGGCAAUAAGCUGAAAUUGGGGAUCAAUAUCAGGUGGAACCACGACAGUCAAUUGUCAAGUAGAUCUCGUUCGAGCAAGUCCAUGCCAAAUCCUAGCAUAUGAAGUAAGGCUCAUAUUUGAAUAGAUUCGAUUUUUAAAAAUUUAAUGGUCCAAAUUAUAUCAUAUCAUUUGGUAAAAUAAUAUGGCACAAUCUGAACUAUUAAAUCUGUAAAAUCAAUCUACUCAAGUUUUGGCCCUGAAGUAAAGAUAUCAUAUGCUACUGCUAAGGACUGAAGGAAGAUAGGCACACCACUUGACCCAAGGGUGCACUACUAUCCACCUUUAGAUUGAGGGAAAAUCUCACCCUUAAGUUAAUUUUUAGAGUGAGAAGACCUAAUCGCACCCGACAUUAUAUUUGCAUAUCCUAAAAUUGAUUUUAUUGAUGCAAAUCCUCUUCGUUAAAUGAACUCAACUUAUCAUUAAGAGAGUGGUAACAGGGCUUGAUUUUUCCCACUUAAAUUCCGACCUUGGUUUUGCUUUAAAGAUCAUAUUUACUGCAGAAAAUUUAAGGAACAAAGUACUAAAUUAUUAUAGGAUUAAUUUUUUGAAUACCAGCAAUACCCUUUGCCACCCAUACUUACCAUCCAAAUGGCCCUUUUUUUUGUUGGGGGGGGGGUGUGUGUGUGUCUAAUGUCAGCAUUAGCAAAUGUGUCUAAAUUUUAUCCUUGACAUCUGAAAAUAGUGAUCACAUCGCCUUACCACAAUCUGGUGAAACAGAUUAGGAACAUGAAGAGCAGAGAAUGGUCAUGCAAGCUGCAACAUAUCUGGAGGGAAGGAAAUCGAUGUGCAGAUUGGCUAGCGAAGGAAGCAAUCCGUUUACAGUCAUCAAGCGGACGAUUAGAAGAGCCACCGGAAGGACAAAGGGAGUUACUAGGAGCUGAUAUAAUUGGGGUCACAACCCCACACUUAAUACCAUGUUAAAAGGCAGUGGCCUCUCCUUUGUAUUCAAAAAGUAGCACUAGCAACCGAACAACUUGACUUGCAGCGAAGAAUAGGGCAAGAACCGACAGUUCCCAUUGUGGGAGGGAACCUAAAUCUAAUGGACUGACAAUUUCAGUUUUUGGUACUAAACUUGUAAACAUUAGUCUCUUUUAUAAUUAUAGUGGCGAACUAAAUGUAUUAUCUCCUUAAGACUAUUUAAUAACGUAACAUCCUUGCCCAAUGAGUCAAUGACAAGAUUUCAUAUGUGGAACUUACAUCCUGGCAAGUUCAUGAAUGCAAUAUAAGUAAUUGUGUACAUGUUUACUACAUUCUUUUGCGUACAACAAAUUUUUUUAAAAAAAAAAAUUUUGCCGAUACCUUUUUUUUGGCUUUUCUUUAUUGUAGUCUACUAUCCAGAAUUAGUAACUAACCUUAUUUUACGCUAAAACCCUAGUUUCUUUUUGGGUUUUCUAUCACCUCAAAGAUUAGAAACUAGCCUAAUUUCCAAAAUUUUGAGGUUCUCCUUGUAAAAAUAUAUGUAAACUUCAUCCUCCAUACUACAUACAUCUACCGUAAAAAUUCACCAAAUCCAUCUCACUUGCUUCAUCAGAACAUCGUAUUUAUCUUUUCAUGGACUUCUUUUUUCCUCACAUUCCAAAUCCAGUGCCUCUGCGUGUGUUUGUCUGUUCCUUUUUAACUCUUUUUCUCCAAAAGAGGCAUAAAGUUCAUGCUAGAGUUUGCCUUCUUCAUAUUCAGUGCUUGAGUUUUCUUUAUGCUGUCAUGAACGAGUACAUUUGUCACUGUCAAUCGUAGAAUGCUAGGGCCAAAUUGAAUUGCCAAAUAUUAAUGUUUCUGGCCAUUAAAAUAGUAGCCUUUGUCAUUGCCAAUUGUAGAAUGGUUGGGCCAAAUAUUCUGUUUGGAUAGAGUGUUAUUUGAAAUAUUAUUUAAAAUAAUUACUGUAGCACUUUUUGUGAUAUGAUAUAUGUGAGAUAAAAAGAUGAUUAGAAAUAUAAAAAGGUGGGUUGGAAAAUGUGUUUAUGAUACAAGCGAAAUAUUAUUUGGAAAAAAGGAGCUAUCCAAACAAACCGGAAUUGCCAAAUAUUAAUGUUCAACUGAGUGAUCGUGUGUCCUUUUUUUUUUUUUUUUUGGGAAAGCUGGUCGUUGACUAUUGUUAAUUUUAUAACCUGUACUACAAAAAAAAAAUUUUUAACUAGCAAUUACAUUGACUACUUUUCUUGAAGACCAUUGCCAUUUCCCGUCCACCCUUAUUUGGUAAACUCAAAUAAGCCCCUCCAAGAGUACAAUGUGCAGAAUUGGCAAUGGUAACUUGGUUCAGGUUGUGGACAGUAGCUAAGGAUGGAUUUUUUUUUUUUUUUGAAGCAAAAUUUUAACCUUUCAUUGAUAUCAUGAACAUUUGUGGACUUAUAUACAUCAAACAAACGCCGUUGACAGCAUAAAGAAAACAUCAAUCACUGAACAUGAAGAAGGUAAACAUAUUUCCGUAACCAAGUUCCAAUUCGCCUUAGUUCUUGGAAUUUUUGCCCCGACCAAUAACUUAUAAUUUAGACUUAAAUACGUAUUUGUGACUUUCAAAAUCUUAAACUUUGCAAUUUCAAUUUAGCGUAUGGCUAAAGUGACGCUGUGAAAGACUGAAAGUCAUGUUUAAGAUGUGGAAAGUUGCAAAAGGGGAAAGAAACAAAAGGCGAGAAAAGUGACAGACUUACCAGCAAUGAUCCCAAAUGACAAUUGUGAAGGGAAGAGGGGGAAUAGGUUUUAGAGAUUUAGAGGCUUUCAACUCAGCCUUGCUGGCUAAGCAAAUUUGGAGAUUCUUAAUAGCUCCAAAUUUGCUAGUAAGCAAGGUAAUGAAGGCAAAGUACAUGAAGGACGCAAACUGGAUGGAAAAAAAUCCCUCCACCUCAGCUUCAUGGUGUUGGAAGAGCAUCCAUAGUGCAACAUCACUGCUGUUAGCUGGACUUUGGAAAAGAAUUGGGGACGGCAAGUCUGUGAGUAUAUGGGGUGACAGAUGGAUAGUUGGUUCAGAAAAUGGCUUUGUAUCAGACACAAAACCUGUGGAAAGCAAGUUGGAAUGGGUAACCGAGCUGAUAGAAGAAGGGAAGUGGAAAACUGAACUUAUCCACAAGUGGUUUAGUACAAAAGAUGCUGAGCUCAUCAAAGCCAUCCCGACAAGCAUAGGAAGAAGAAAGGGUAAGCUGGUAUGGAGCCAUUCCAAAUCAGGAAUAUACACUGUAAAGAUGGGUUAUGCGGUAGCAAGACAACAGGAAGUCAAACCGGGUAGUAAGAGAGGUCAUGAUGCAGAGACAAGUUGGGAGAUAGGAAAACACAGUGUGGAAGAAGUUAUGGCACAUGAAGGUGAAGGCAAAACUAAAACAGUUCAUGUGGAAAUGCUUGCAAAACUAUCUACCUGUCAACGAAUUGCUGUAAAAAAGGCUUGGAAGAGAAGAAGGAAGAUGUGGCUGCUGUGGAGAAGACAUGGAAACCAUUGAGCAUUUGUUCUUCUUCUGUGAAAAUGCAGUGGAAGUAUGGAAGUUGGCACCGGUAAGAUGGGAUGGGUUACAUGAAAAACAACAGAAUUUUUGGAUUUGGUGGGAGAAAGUUACCCAAACGCUUUCCAUGAAUCAAGGUCAGGAUAGAGUAAGUCUUACCAUUAAUAUCCUCUGGCAAAUUUGGAAAACCACGAACAAAAAAAUCUUUGAACAGGCAAACCAGGAUCCAUUCAAAAUGGUACGGAAGGCACAAGAUGAGUGGCUAGAGUUUUAAUAGGAAAGGGAGCCAGAACAGAAGGUGAGCGUAGGGAGGAUGAACAAAGACAUACCCACUAGUAGGGAGCGGCCAAGGAAGAAAGAGAUAAGAUUGUAUACAAAUGCGGCUAUAUCAGCAAAAAGAGUUAGGACAGGACAAGGGAUAAUAGCAAGGAAUUGAAAAGGACAGAUAAUGAAAGCUAAAGGAAUUGUCACACAGGGGAAGGGGACAGCAAGCAAAGAAGAAGCUCUUGCCGUAAGAAGUGCUCUACUGAUGGCCAAACAAGCAGGAUGGACAAAAAUUAUAGUCCAUACAGACUGCAAAUCAGUGGUUGAGCAGAUCAAUAGAGGCAGUGAGUAUGACUACAGUACUGCAACUAUCUUAGAAGACGUACAAGAACUUAGUUUAGGCUUUGAAAGAUGUUCUUUUGUGUUUAUCGCUAGAACUGAAAAUCAAAUCAGCCAUGCACUAACACUAUAUGCAGUAAAGCUAGUACAUGAUAUUGACUGGGAGCAUGAUUUUUCGAUAUGGCUGACUGACUUAGUUAAGAAGGAUAUGAGGUUAGUAUCCCUUUUUUGUAACUAAUCCUGGUAAGGUCAAGUGUUAAUAUUUAUAAAUUGUUAUCGUCUGUUGAAAAAAAAAAAGUAAGCAAAUGAAAAUUAAAAAGACGAAAAGAAAAUACAUAUGUAAAUAAAUGUUCAGCAAAACUUUUAUUUAAUCAUGGACUAGAGGCUUCACAAAUAAUUCGUAUGCCGAGUUGAGUCUAAGUUUAUCAUAGAUACUAACUGUAAAUAUUAAAUUACAAAAGAUUAAAAAAAGUUUCCGGGGUAUAUUAAGAGAAUAAAUAAAUUUUCUUGUACCUUAAGAAAUUUAAUAAACAAUGAACGUAAUUAGUACUUUCUAUUUCCUUCAUUUCCUUGUUUAGAACCACUAAUUAACUGUGACUAGAGGACUCUGACUGACUACAGGACUACAGGACCAUGACUUAGUAGAAAUCUAUGCAACUGCAAGUUGAAACCUAUGAAAGUUGUUCUAUGCAACUCAAAAGCAUUUAAACCAGACAAGAAAAUUGAAACGGAUUCAAUUGAAGAAGGGGAAAAAAAGUAGUAGCUAGUGAAAUUUUGGAAGAUUUGUAAAGAAAAACUAAUGGAGUUUGUCUCUUACUUAUUUUUUAGUGUAUUUUGUUAGCAUUUGUCGGCGUAUUUCUUUACAAGCUUCAAUAAUCUGUUUAUGCACCGUUCCAUUCAAGUACAUAAUUUGUCGCUUUUUAUUUUUUCCUUGUCGCUUCUACAUAUAUAUAUAUAUAUAUAUAUAUAUAUAUAUAUAUAUAUAUAUAUAUAUUUAAUAGGGUGGUGUUCUACUUUAACCAUUUUUUUUGGGAUAAUUUCAGAAACCUCCCUUGAGGUUUCUUACUAUUCCACUUAGUUCCCUUGACAUUUUAAAAAUUGCAAUUGCCUCCCUUAAUUUGACACUUUGGUAACCAAACUUUAAAAUAGAGUCAAAAUUUAAUGAAUACCCUAAAAUGCCCUUUUCUUACAAAAUUCAAUUUGUUCUUCUAAACAAAAAGAGCGUCAAGUUUUUCAUGUCAAUAUUUGUUAUUUGAUAAUCAAUUAUAACAAUAAAUCUUUUGUUGUAAUAUGAUAUUUUUCAUAUUGCUUUAUUGGGAAUAUAAAUUCUUUUUAUGAUAGAGAAGAAAGUGCUAUUUUGUUUCUUUUAAAGUUCAUGGAGUAUUUUUUUAAUAAAAAUUUAUGGACUAGUUUAGUGGUAGAACUAUCAUAAUUUGAUAGUGAUUUUGGGUCAUUUGGUUUUAACAUUGUUGAUUUAUCCUUGAUUUUGAUACUAAAUAAAAGAGCUACAAAAAAAUUGGAGGAUAUUAAAAGUUGUCAAAAAAAAUAUAUUACUAGUUUAACGUUUAAUUUGGAUAGAUAUUUGGAACAACAUUGAUAAUUCUUCUAUACUUCUAAUAAAAUAUAAGAAAAAAUGAAUAAGAAGGGAAAAGGUAAAAAAAAAUUAUAAAAUCCUUUGCAUAAACAUGGCAAUAAAAGAGUUUUAUUAAAAAUAUUAAGAUUAAUAUUGUCAUUUUAAAUGGAUAAGGGAGGUAGGUGUAAUGUUUAAAACCUUAGAAGAACCAAGUGGAAUUAUUAGAAACCUUAGGGGAGGUUUAUGAAACUAUCCCUUUUUUUUUCCCUCUCCAUUAUCCUAAUAAACCACGGACAAAUACCGUAUGAUUUUGUCACCUGUGGUUUUGCAAAUACAAACCUACUGCUUCCCCUCAAUUCCUUCCUCGAUCUUUCUGUACAACGUACUAUCAAGUAUCAAUACAGCACACCAACCAGUUUACAACUUUCCUAUCUCUAUCUUCCACCUGCAUAUAAUUCCUUUCAUCUAAUCAAUUUGAGAUGAGCAGUAAACUUCCCCUCAAUUCUGUGGUGGACGCAUUCUGUAAUAUCCACUGGAAGUCAGACAAGAAACUCGAGCAUUAUUAACAAAAUGGAUCCACUACAAUCAGAGGAAUAUCGUAUGGCUUUUAGUGUUGGAAUUCAGUAGCUGCUCCGCCUUAUCCCCAUUACGUAAGUUUAAUGAAAACAAUAAGUUACAGCAUACAAGAGGUUAUGCAGAAGAUUUGCACCCUGUAGAAAUGAAAUCUGAGCAGCGUACUGACUUAUACGCGUGAAGGGAUUGUGAACCUGUAACUGGGCAGACCCACAAAAAAAUUUUUGAGAGGAAUAUUUUCUGGAAUGGCAAAGCAUGCUCAGGAUGGUUCCUCAUGCGUUCAUAAGUUUCAAUCUCACUAACACUUCCCUAAAUCGGAAACAUGUCAACCAUACCACUUCCUGUAUAUUCUCCACCAUCAUCAUCACAACCACCACCAUCCGCAGCCCUCACCAUCCACCACCACCACCUGUCCUUCUCCUCCGCCCAUCAGAAUCACCACCACCACUGGCUUCAAUUUGAUAAGCAUCAUUAGCUGUCCUUCAUUCCAGUUCACUCUGUCAUAUUUAAAUGUUCCAGUGACUUUCUUUCUCAUAGUGUUGCUGGUUAGUAAAGUUUCAUUGACAACAAGUGCCUUCUACCGUUUCCAUAUGUUCCAGCUUUAGCUGACCAUUUUUACUUGGAUUCUUUUUCCUAUUUUGGGUUGCCGUGGAGGGAUUGGGGUGCAGGGGUGAGACAGGGUGAUCAGUAAGAAGAGGUAUUCAUAAGAUUCAGUUAAAAUCAGACAAGAAAAUCAUGCAUUAAUAGUAAAAUGAUACGGCUUCAAUCUGCAGAAUAUCUCAGGACUUCUAGAAUCGAAAUUAAAGCACCGACUCCACCUUAUCCCAAUUAUAUAAGGAACAGAAGAAGAACAAAUUUAAUGAAAAAACGAAGUUGUAGCGUACAAGAUGAAGAGCGUUCAACUACUACUACUUAGAACUCUUCUUUGCCAUGCAAAAAAAAAAAAACUCUCCAGCCAUGUGUGUUGACUCACAAUUGAUCUUCUUAUAGACAUUCCUUAAGUGUACUGUGGGCUUCAAAUUAAUGACAAGUUAAUUUGAUUAGAUUUAUCCCAAAGUUAGUAAACUUCUCGCAGUUCAAAUAGCCUCUUCAGCUUCAUCUGUUAGUAAUUAACUGCAAUUUGGCUUAAAAAUCAAGAAGUCUAGGAAUAGAUUUAUGCCGAGAUCUUCUCAUACCAAAAUAAGAUCCUGUUGUAUGAUAUUUACUCUUUUUGCUGUUUUUGCAAGCUGUUAAAAUUAAAUGCUCAUCAACUAUCGUCUCCAUUUUCUCCUUCUCCAAGCAGAAAAUUUAUAAACAAGCUAGUAGAACUAGAGAGCAUCCCAUGUUCUUAGAUCCUAUUAUAUUAAACACCCUGAAUAUCAUGCUUGAAAACUAUAAAUUCAACAGUGUAAAUUUAUCAUCAAUCAAAAGAUAAUACGACCCCAUUCUAUCAAAAUGACUAACCAAAUAGAUUAAUUACCAAAAAAUAAAAGGCAGAAGAGUUGCAACUUAUAGAAUUGCAUUCUGAGCAAAAUACUGACAUGUACAUAUGAUGAGAUUAUGUUCCAUUACUUGAGCACACCAGCAAUUUUUUUAUGCUGAGGCUGAUUGCUUCCAUGUUCUUAAGUUUCAACCUGAGGAAAGCUUCCCAAAAUUGAAAAUAUUGACUUCAUCAAUUCCACUUCCCAUACGUGCUCUCAUCCCUUAUGUUUCCUUAACACUUUUAUUAACCAUAUAAUUUCGACUAAAUGUGUCAAAGCAUUGUUAUCCAAUCUAAAACUUCAUAUUUAGAACAACCUUUCGUGUUUCUCAAAACAUAUACAUUUGCUAUCGAUAUAAAUGGAAUAGAAAAUUUAGGCACUAAUUUAGGUCAAGCCAAAGCAUACAUAGCAUACAUGGAGAUCAUCGCGUGACCAUGCAGUCAUGGCCUUUAUCUCUUCGGCUAAUUGACGAUCAUAUCUACUCGAAAUUGACAGUAUAGCGUUAAAUGUAUGUUUCUGCUAGCCAUAAUCCGCUCGGACAAGCUAUUAACUACAAACUGAAAUUCUGACUUUUCCACGCCUAGUCCUAUACAGGUGCUAACUUCUUCGUUUUGCCCUCCAUGUCUUGUUACAGAACAUUAUUUGUAAACUUAGUAAAGUCUCAGUUUGCUUAGCAUUUUAAGCCUCAUGAUAUCCAAAGAUUCAGGGAUAUAUGAUCUAUAUUAUGCAGAAUAAGUCAGCAAUAUGAAACCACCACCUGGUUAUUAGUUUUCUCCAAGCAAGUUGCAUUUGUCAACCGAUGACUAAUAUUCUGUAAGAAUAGAGCAAACCAGCAAAUUCCAAACAGCAGAUGCUAUGUUGUUUAGAUCUCAUCUCAUGUGGCUCAUUCACUUGAAAAUUAGCCAACUAAGUAGUAUGAGAUUUAGAUCUCUUCAUAUGGCAUGAAAUCCAAAAAAAAAAAGUUCAUACAUCCAUAUUGUAGUAGGCCAGACUUACCUAUCUCCUUAGCAGUUGAGAUAGCAUAACUAGAAGAUGCAUCUUUUGUGUGGUCUUUAGGAUCUGAAAAAGGUGUUGAACAAAGAACUGUUGAUCAAGUGGCUCUGGAGCAGGUUUCAUGAAUCUGCACCAAGAAAUGGUGGUAAUUCCAGCAGUGCUUGCUACUGUUGCUGAGGCAACACUCCAGAAUUCCUGAUGCGUCUUUGUUAGAAUUAUCUGCGCAAAUAUCACAUUAAGUUCAAUUGCAAUUCUAGAUAUAUCUUCAUAGAUUGAGCAUGCUGCAUUUAUGAAAUGCCCAAUUGCAUCUUUUCUUAGUUGCUGCACAUAUUGGGCAGACCUGGAAUGGAAUGGUCAAAAAAACCAUCAAAUUGCCACUGAGAAUUGAAAACCAAGAGAAUCAGCAUCCAAGAAAAAAUCAAUACUAUUAUUAAUAUAGAUGUAAUCCAUGCCUGGCUCCUGUUUAAUAAGGUACUUGUCGGUUUCUUUCGAAUUAUUGGUUUGUGGUCCCAUGCAUCAAUGAGUUUGUGUGGUUACACUUACACAAUACCGUAUCACUCGAGCUUUUUCUAAACAAAUCCAGUGGGGAAAAGAAACAUGCCGCUGUAUUUGGGCUUCCGUUGCUAUUCAUUCUAAUAAAUCAAUACUAUUAUUAAUAUAGUUGAGCUUAUUCUAGAGUCCAUAGGGUUUCUUUUGUUCCCUUUUAUUAUAGAUUAAAAUUAACAAGAAAACAUUCUGGGUUUGAAUGUUCUGUCUAUAAGAUUAUUUAGUGGGAAAAACAUUAUGGUUACAAUAUAUGAUGCAGUCUAGUAGUUGUUUCACUUGCAAACAACUUGGAUGGAAAUUUUUCUUUUUUUGCAUAAGAAAUCUAAGUGGUUAUGGGGAACUUGUUCUGUGAGCUAUUGCAUGUUGUGGCUCAAUGUUUUCCAAUAGUUUGGCUGCAUCCUCAAUCAUUUUGCGUCUAUUUAAUUCUCUUUUAUUCGACCAUAUGAGAUUAAAAUCAUAAGAUUGACAUGGGUAUUCUGGUUUAGCUCUUUACAUGUCAAUUUCGUGAUUAUUUUAGCACAAUUUUCAUUUAUAGUUAAGAUUAAGAAUUAUGGAUAAAUAUGGAUGCUUUAAUUAGCCCCGUCUCAACGCGAUUAUUUAAUUGGAUAAUAUAUGCAUUGAGGGUCAACUUUAAGGUUUUGGAUCUCUUUUUAUGCUAAACAUUGACAUAUUCUAUAUGAAUCCUUCUAAGAAUUUUAUGAACAAAAGUGCCAUUUAUCUGUUUUGCUCUUCUAUAUAUGAAUGAUAUGGAGAAGAGUUUAUGGACAUAAAAUUUUUGUCUCAGUUAAAUAAUUGAUGAAUUUUAAUGAAUGGAAUCACCAAAGUAACUUUUAUUAUAUUUAUUGAAUUAUUUAAUAAGGAUUCUGAGAUGUUCAUGUUUCAAAGUUCUGUGUUAGUUUUCAGCUUGAAUUUUUAUUAAAAGUUGAAAUUGCUUUUUGAUAUAUGAACCUUUGGUAGUAUUAUAAUUACUGAUUGUCUUCUUGGUUCAUCUACUUGUGAAGAAUAUGCCAUCUACCUGUGAAAUUGCGUUUUGAUAUAUGUGCAUCACUUUGUCUUCUUGGUAUUAUAAUUAAGAAGAUGUUGUUGUUGUCGUCGGAAACACGCAGAUCAUAUGUAAUUUGUUUGACGACCAAUACUAUAUAUAUGGUUCACUUCAAGGGAUGUUUUAUGAUUACUAUGUUUACACUGUUCCAUAUUUGGGAUGCAUCUUUCCUUUUCAGCGUCUAAAGCCUAUUAUUGGAUUGAAGGAAACUUGAAUUUAAGAUCGAAAUUGAAUUUUGUGCCAUAAAAAGUCAAUAAUUUUUUUUUUGGAGUGAAUUACUGUACUACAUCAUUCUUGUUAAUCAUAAGUUGGUGAGUUUUUCUCCUUCAAGGACUUUACUAUUGACAGGUAGCUCAUUCAAUUGAUUUAUCAAACAAACUGUUUUAGAUCUUUCAGGUGACUCUUGUCAACUCCACAAUCCAAAUGUAAUCACCUACCUUUUACAUUUAUGAACAAUGCUCAAAAGUCCCAUAUAGGUUAUAUACACUUGAAAAGACUAUACUCCCUCCGUCCCACUUUGAUAGUCCUGUAUUCCUUUUUCAUCUGUCCCAAAUUUAGGGGUGGCAAUUCGGGUCCAAAUCAGGUUGGCGGGUUGGGUCUGACCCGACCAGUCAGAAAAUCUGUUAACUCGAACCCGAUCCGCCAACCAGUGACGAGUCAGGUAUACUGACCCGAAUCUGAAAAUUUCAGGUUGACGGGUUGGCGGGUCGAUCCGAAAUGACCCGAAACUUAAUUUUAAUUUAUCACUGUAAUUUCUAAUAAAAUUAAUUUCUCACAAAACUAAUUACAUAAUCAAGUAAUAAAAAUUUAAAUAAAUAAUUCCAAACCAAAUCUAAAAUAAAUUAAACACCAUAAAAGUGUUUUAUCCCAAACAAAAUAUAAAAUAAAUUAAAACAGUAUAAAAGUGAAAAAUAAUAUAAUAUAUUAUUUGUCUAAAUAUAAUAAUUUCAACUUCACACAAAUUAAAUAAAUUCAUUUAGGAUUAAGUAAUUAAUACCUUUGAAAAAAAGAAUAACUUAGUUUAGUUAGAUUAAAUUAUUUUUAUGUUUAUUAAAUUAUUUUUAAUUCGUAAACGGGUCAUAUCGGGCCAUAUCAAGUCAUCACGGGUUGACCCGAAAUCGACCUGUUUUCUUUUCGAGUUCAUCGGGUUCAACCCGAUUCUGACCUGAAUUCCCGAAACCUCAACCCAAACCCAUUAAUUUCGUGUUAGGUUCGUAUCGUGUUUUCAGGUCGUGUCGAAAAUUGCCACCCCUACCCAAAUUGUAGUCCAUUUUCCAAUUAAAGAAUGUAGUUGUAUUUUAAUUUUCCUAAAAUACCCUUAUUCAAUGUAAGUAGUUGUUACUAUAAACCUAUCCCAUUUAAUAAGAGUUGAUUCUUUUUUUACCAUCAAUUGAAGUUCCCAUAAAGUUGUACCAUAUUUAAUAUGAUGGUAUUUUAGAAAAAUAGCAAUCUAAAUUUACUUUUCCAACAAAGUUAACUACUUUUUCUUAAACUGUGUGAAAAAAGAAACAGGACUAUCAAAGUGGGACAGAGGAAGUAAUUUAUAAUCGUAUAGUUGGGCACACCAACUUCCAUUUGCAUAAUUAAUGGUAAAGCAAUAAUGCACUGGAUGUACGAAUCCGAACCCAGGUAUGGUUUAAAUCGAGGCCUUCUAUCAUACAACAAAAAUUUAUACGUCCCACAUAUGGCAUCGAAAACAUUAUACAUAACAUGAUUUGAAUCUUAUAUCUUCUUUUUUAGAUCAAUCUUAUCUCUUAACCUUUCAGGGAUGGUCACAUUAGCAACCUUUCCUAUCCAAAUUCGACACACAAUUUCGUCAAAAUUUCAGGAAGAAAACAAUAACAAGGAGAAAAUGAAUAAAUGACUCGAGCAAAGCUACAUAGGUCUUUAACUAAAGCUGAAAUUUUGAUGCAGUAAAGAGCGAUCGAGCAUGGGGUUUUGUUUCCAAUUCUCUGUUGAAUGAAAGUUCUUGUUACUUGGGGAAUUUUGCAUGUUCAGUUAUUGGGUAGUACCGCUGAAUAAUAGGAUACUCAUGAACACGAAAUGGGCCGACCCAAAAUCUUAGUCUCAAGCUAUUUUAUGGCGUCAUUCUGAUUGAGACGCCAGUCUAGGAGAGCAUGGGGCCACAAAAAGUUGGGGAAAAAAAAAAAAGGUUUCUAGUGGGGCCCUGGGGAAGAUUUUGAUUUUUGAGUGCUCUCUGCUUGUGAACUGUGAACUGCUUGGGUGAGAAUUAUUUAAACGAGUAUUAGUUUUAUUUUUGUUUAAUAAUUGGAUUUAAAUACGGUACUUUUUUUUUUUUUUUUUUUUUUUCAAUGAUAGAAUUUAGACACAAGUUUAAUUCAGGACAGAAAUUUCCGGGACAUUGCGCUAUAAAGAUAGAUUGGCAACUUAACUAUCAAAGUUCUAAAGGACGUGUCAAAACAAACGGAGGGUCCCGCAUGCCGAUUCACCCCGUAACAAAGUUCCAAAGAAGUGUCAAAACAAACGGAGGAUGCCAAAACAAACGGAGGGUCCCGCAUGCCGAUUCACCCCGUAACAAAGUUCCAAAGUGUCAAAACAAACGGAGGGUCCCGCACUAUCUUAUAUCUGAACUUUAAAUACACAUCUUAUAUUUGCCUUAUACUUGACUAUUUACUAGGGGUGGGCACGGGUCGGGUACCCGCCCCUAACAUGAUUUGGCUGACCCGACCCUAAUAUAUCGGAUCAGCCAUUUUGCGACCCUAACCCGUUCCUAAUAUUUUCGGGUACUCGAAAAAAAGGGGCGGGUCAUAGGGUACCCGCCCCUAAAAAAAAACUAUUUUUCAAUAAAAAAAAUUUAUUUUCUACUUAAUAUCAACAUGUUUUUCAAUAAAAAACAUGCUUUUCCAAUUAAUAUUGGUAGAGAUAUUGUAAUUAAAGUCCAUACAUCACCAUUUUCACACAUUUUAUCCAAUAAUCAAAUCGAUCUCAUAAAUUUAGUACAUAUUAGAAUAUCUAAUGGACAAAACGAAGUUUCAUAAUAAUUUUGAGUACAUCACCAUUUUCACACAUUUCAUACUUCUACAACACAACAAACAUAAGGAUAAUAAGUAUUUGGUAACUUCUCCAAGGAUAUUAUGGUACAAGACCGCAUCUCAAAUAAGUCAAUUGUGAAAUCAAGUUCGGAAAAGAAUUGAAUAGAACUAAUUAUUUUUGAAAAAAAUAUAACCAAAAUAAUGUUAAAAAUCUUCCCCAACUUCUUUACAUCUUUGGAAUAGACCUUAUGGUAUUAAGGUGAUGAAAAAGAAAAAUAAAUUUCUUACACUAAAUAAAAGAGACAAAUUUAAGACAUAUAAUUGCAAAUGAAUGACACAAAUAUUUUAAUUAUCUAGCUAACAGAAAAUUGAGACUCCAAACAAAAAUCUUUGAUUGAAUUGAUGCAAGAUUUGCAGGAAAGAUCGAUGGAGGUAGAAUAAAAAUAAAAAAGAUGAAAGGGAUGAACAAUUUUUAUAACAAAGUUUCACAAAUUUUUUUUUUCAUUUUGUUCAUAUUUCACCGAGAAUAUUCACUUUCUUCAAAAAAAAAUGAGAAGAGUAGAUCAUAUAGGAUUAGAAUAUGAGGCUGCGAGCCACUUCACUUGCACUUAGGAUUAAAAAUUACAAAAUUAUAAAAUGAUCCCUACUUUUUUAAUAUUUAUAAAAUAUACCCUGCGGGUCGGGUACCCGCGGGUUUUUAUUUUUCUGAUCCGUAUCCGUACCCGAUUUUUCGGGUACCCGACCCUCAUCUGCCCCGCUAAGAAAAAUCGGAUCGGGUAUCCUAUUUUUCGGAUCGGAUCGGAUCGGGUUCAUCGGGUUUUCGGAUCGGCGGGUUUUUUUGCCCACCCCUACUAUUUACUAGAAAUUUAACAACAGCAUAAAUACUUUAAAUGUCAAUACAUAUUAUUAGCUUAGUUGAUAAAUACAAGUUGCUUCCUCGUACAGAAAUCGCGUGUCUAAGGGCCUCAAGCGAUGCUUUAAUGGUAUAGUAUAAGAUAGUUUGAACAACCAAACAUGGAAUAGCACCAAAUAAAGUAUAAGAUAGUUUAUGCUCAGCACGCCAUUGAUUCCUUAGACUACAAAGACCAGUAACUUCCCAAUGUACCCAGCAAUUGGGCUAGUUUUUUGUGGAUUUUCACUUAAAUGAAUUAUAUUUAAUCCGCUCAACUUUAGAUUGGAUUGAUUUUAGAUUAGGUCAUAUUGAGUCAUCUCAAAUCCAUAAUCAAAACAUUGUCCAACAUAUUAAUUAAUACAUUGUGAUGUUUUAUAAACUUUCUCUUGUACAUUUACACAUACAAAAAGAUUUUAUUCACACAUAUAAAUAUAUUUUCACAUACAUAAAUAUAUUUUCACACACUCACUACCUAAGUUCUUUGGAAACACAUCAUAAAUAGAAUAAUAUUUUAUAUUGCCUGUAUUGCAAAAUUUGAAUAAUAAAUUGUAUAUUGAAAUAAAUUAGCUAAAAAAAUUUGUUUACCAUAUGCCUUGUAACACUACUAAUUGCUAGAAACUUAUUUUUUGUUUACCUUAUACUCGUCUUCGAUCUCCAGGUCAUUGUCAGGUGAAAGUGGCGUUCGCAUGGGUCCCGCGUAUUGUCAGAAGAUUAGCUUAAGUAGUAAUGGGUGGACUUAGAAUGGAGGGGUUCCAAAAUUGUGUCAAUUCACUUGAUAAUUCCUUAAAAAAAAAAAAAAAAUCACUUGAUAAUGCCCCGGUGAAAAAAAGUGAUAACAAAGAAGGGACUAAAUUCCUUUGAAAAAAAGGUCACUUGAUAAUGACCGAUGACGAGACUACAUCCGAGAUUUCCAUCCGAGAUUUCUCGCUUAUUUUAAAACAAAAAAUUAAAAAAGGUGCCAGACCAUCGCACCUGUUCGUAUACCUAUGUUGUAAAGAAAGAAUGCUUUGUAUACCUGAGUAACAAAAAAGAUAAUGACCCGGUGAAAGGAUGGUCAGGCAGAGCACAUACCUAGCUAGGACUUUAACUACGUAUGACGUAUCUUGUACUUGACCUAAUACUAGAACUUUAACAACAGCAUAAAUACUUUAAAAUGCCAAAUGCCAACACACAUUAGUUUGGUUGAUCAUAAGUAUAGGUGACUUCCUCGUAGCUAGAGAAAUCGUGUGUCUAAUGGUCUCAGGGGUAAAUGUUCUAGUGACAGUCAUUAGAGGCGAAAAUACCCUAAAACAAAAAACUUUAAAUAGUCAAACAUGAAAUAGCACCAAAUACUACUGUAUGAGAUAUUUUAUGCUGAGCAUGAUGCAAUUGGUUCCAUAGAUAACAAGGACCAGUAACUUCCCGACAUGAUUAAUUUAAAUGAAUUGUAAAGCCAAACUAAAAAUUCAUUUUUUUGAUGCUUUCUUCAUUUUUUUUUAAUUGUAGUCAAACCUCACGACUAAACCAAAGCAGUGCAUUAUGAUAUUUAUGUGUACAUAGAGCAAGGUACAACUAGGGGUGGAGCUGAUUCAAGUUACUCGACUCGAGCUCGAUAUGUACUCGAUCAGAAGCUCGAACUGCUCGUUAGAGCUAUCGAGUCGAGCUCGAGCUCAGAAAUUUGAUAUUCGAGAGCUCGACGAGCUCUAUCGAGUAUCACAUAAAAAAUUUUAAAAAAAAAUUAUAUAUAAAAUUACUAAUAUAGGUAAAUAAAUUCUGAGAAAUUACCGGUGAGUACCCUUAUCGAGUCGAGCUCGAGCUUUUUAAGGAUUUGAUCGAGCUCGAGCUCGAGCUGUGAUUCUCCGACUCGAUCGAGCUCGAGCUCGAGUAUAAUUAUAUUAUAGCCGAGUAGAGCUCGAGUAUAGCGGUACUCGAGCUCGACUCGGCUCGAAUACACCCCUAGGUACAACCUGACUUGGGUUCAAACUUUUUUUCUCUUACCUAUAUUUUUGGGAGUUCACUUAUAUAUAGAAAAUGACUUUGAAAAUGACGGUAACCAUGAGCUAAUUUGUAUUUGUUAUACAAGUCGUAUGCCGUUUAGAAUAAAAUUUUCUUAUUUUUAUAUCCAAUGGAUUAUAUUUGAACACUAUUAUAUACUAUCAAAAUAGAGAUCUGAGAUUGUCUGCCUAAAACAGAAAGUAGUCUAAUAAAGUCUUUCUUUAAUUUACAAACUAAACAAAUCACGAUUACUUUGAGUUAAAUUUUUCAAGUCUAACAAAGAUUAUCUAACUUUUUGCGUUACUUGAGAAAAACAAUGUAAUGGAGUUUGCUUCUGUUGAUUCUUGAACAAGUCCUUCUCCAAAAACUAAAGAUAAGGCUCUGCUAAAAAGAAUAAAAAUAAAGAAGGUAAGGUCCUCAUGUUGAAAUGAGUGAAGAUGUGGACAAAGUACCGAUUUAAAGGCGGUUCUUCACUUGACAAUAAUAUAUACGCACACUAUCACAAUGACCUGGUGAAGAAAGUGGAGCUCCAGCUCAUUGUGAAGUGAAGCUGGUGCUUGCAUGGGUCCUGCGUAUUUUGGGAACAGGGGCGGAUUUAAAGUGGGGGCACUGGCCCUUAAAUUCCUAUAAUACAUCUACAAUUUUGACAUAAUUUUAAAGGUGCCUCCAUAAUUUUUUUUAGAAAAAAUAUGAAAGAAUGGGUCACAAAAUUUAUAUCAUUCACUUUCCUCCUCUAGUUCCCAUUUUUCCACCAAUAGGGCCAAGUACCAAUUAUAUCAGUCAUUCCUUUUUGUCUCCCCUCCCCAAGUUCCCUUUACUCCUGUGGUCCCCCAUUUCCCUUCAUAAUCGGCUCCUUUUCUUCCACACUCAAGCCAACUACCUUUUCUUUUUAUCACUUCAUCCAAUUAUCAUUUACUUCCUUUGUCCCCACUCCCCAAUUUCCCUUCUCUCAUCAAUUGAUCUUCUAGGACUUGGGUCCGCCACAUUUUGCAGCUCUUUUCACCAACUUUAGGAGACCAUCAAAAUCAGGUUCUAAACAAUUACUUAUUAUUAUUAUUAUUUUAAAUUUGAUUGCAAAUAUAUUUCUAGAGUAUGAGACUAUUACUGUUUUAAAGAAAUUUAAAAAUUGAUUAGUUAAUGUAAUGACUAAUCAAUGGGUUAUUUGAUAAAUAUUUUAACUUGUGAAAUGGUGAUUUUAUGCAUGAAACUUUUUUUUUUUUGCUUAAAAAAUUAGAAAAAGAGUAGAUAAAAAAUUUUAAUAUUAUUUUUGUCUCCACUAAAAUUUUUUUCUGGCUCCGCCCCUGUUUGGGAAGAUUAGCUAAGUAGUGCUGUGGUAGAAUAUUAGAAGGUUGGGUUUCCAAAAUUGGCAUUCACUUGAUAAUGACCUGGUGCAGAAAGUCAAGACGAUCCGCACUCAUACGAACACCGUCGUCCGCUUUCUUCACCAGUCAUUGUCAAGUAAAGGUGGUGUUCGCAUGGGUCCUGCGUAUUGUCAGAAGAUUAGCUAAAUAGUAAUGUGGUAGAAUUAGAAGAGCGGGGCUCCAAAAUUGGCAUUCACAUUCACAGGAGUGUUUUGUCAUUGGAUAUUCUAUAAUUUACAUGCAUGGCUGCCUGGCUACAUGUUUUGUUUUAUAGAUUGACACUUACAGUUACAGGUGCCUGAAGGCAAUUGGCAUGGCAUGGCAGUGGCGUGUAAUUUUUUCCAGUCCUAGUGUCUGUGGCGCCCACCGGGCCACCACCUUAUCCGGUUUUUUUUUUUUUGGGGUAAUAAUUACCCUUUCCCUGGCCCCUGGGGACGCACCUACAAGGUGAGAUUCUUAGUAUGUAAAUGCUUGUGCGACGAUAUAAAUAAAGGCCCAGCCCAACACAACCGAGGUGUCUAACCCAUUGAGAAUUUUUCUUACCGGAGAAUUACCCGUCCCAGAAAUGUUGGGAGAACUCAGGCUUGCAGCUAUCAACUUCUUCUUGACCUUGAAGAAUUUCGCUCAGGGUCAGGGCUUCCCCGCAUGGAAAUGGUGGGAGUCUCGAAACGGGGCCGCCCAACAGUCGCCAACCGUGCAACUCCAACUCCAACCUGGUGCAGCAUCUCAACUUGCGGAGCAGCCGUCCCUGCCUACCUUCCGGCAACCUAAUAAUGGCGCUGAUCAGAACCCCAACUUCGUUGACUAUGUGAUGAAGAUGCAAUGGGCGUUGCUGGUCAUCGGAGUUUGUAUUGCAGCCUUUAGCGCCGCCUUGCAAGCUCUCCAAACUCCUGCACCUCUCCCUCCAACCUUUCACUGGUUUUGCAUGCUUCUGCAGCUGGCCGUUCUUGCUUUGUUGGUCUCCGUUUACAUCCGCCGCCGUUACGAGACGGCAUCUCUUGUCAUGGCACAUGUUGCAAUUUUCUUGGGCGCCACUGCAUUCAUGCUGGCCAUUGGAGUGACUUUUGCGGCUCCGCUCACUGGGAUAUCCAUCGCACUCUACUUCGUUGCAAUCCUCGCAAUCAUCUUUGCUAAUCGUUGAAUCUCCUGCUCAGGUAUUUGUUUAUUAACUUUUUCUUUUUCUU
rnacentral:lncRNA from 1 species